CUGUUGAAAAUUAUAAUAUCUAGGUAAACCUAACCCAACGACGCUUCAAUAGAAAGAAUGUUGAUCUAUUAUAAGACUACAAAGAACUGAAAAAGGUUAUUAAAUUCUACACAGAACAGUAAGGCAAUACUUAACGACACCAUGCUUAGGUAUUCGCGACUUUAGCCAUUCUAGUUGCUUGAUUUGAAGUAACUUGACUAACACGAACGAAUCUCUAAGCGACGAUGUUGACUUGGAAUAUUAUCGAGUCAGUUUUUCCCCGUUAUUUUUUCAAUCAGUUCCUCGCUAUUAUUUGCCUUGGAAACGAACGUGCCGAAAGGAAGUUGUUACGGGAUUACGUAUAAAAACCAGGAAGCGUGAAUCUCUCAGAUUUAUUUACGAAUUUGCCGACUGAUGUUUGGCGAUAAGGAAAAACCGAUUAAAUUCCAGAAACGAUAAGCAAGAAAAAGAGAAAGAUCGUUUCUUGAACGAAAGGGGCAUUCGACGUUGGAUUCACCUAGAGCAGAGCGGUUGUUACGAAGAAUAAUAACUGUGGGAGAGUCGCCAAUAUAAUAUCUUUUAUACUACACGACUGGUUGUAGUAUUAAAUCCGCACAGGUUCCGACAGGUUGCCAACCACAAGCUUACUCCACAUGUGGCCUCCACAUUUCUCCCAUGACAAAUUCAUGCGAGAUGGCGUACAUCAAACCAUAACAUAUUCUCUCAACUACACAGGUCGAGCAGCUGCGACGUGAUACAAAAGAACGCUAUACUACCUGUCUAACGUGAGCGUGGGGUAAACGGUGAUCGGUAUUCGAGUCGUCAGAAACAAUGAUCGCUCUAUCUUGGAAUCGACUGCAGAUGGCUUCGUUCGUACAAUGUGUCAAUGAACUUGCGUGUAUACGGGCUAUAAAUUUUAGUUAGCAAGUUACGAAGAUAUUAUUGAUUAUGCAUAUGCAAGUUAGUUAGCGCUGGAAGGAUUGUAAAUGCUUUGUAUUGAGCAACGUCAAAAAUAGAUGAUAUAUCGCGAUUGUAACUCAUGACGAACAAUACCAAUUAAUAAAUAUAUCUCCUG
rnacentral:misc_RNA from 1 species